ACACCCUCAACUAGAGCUUCAACAAACUCAGCUCUUCUAGCUUGAUUUUUUGCAUGUUUUCCUUCAUUAAGCUCUAAGAUCAACAUGCCAAAACCACAAACAGGUUAAGUUUAGAGAACUCUCACCAAUAUCUGUAAAUCUGUAGAAAACAACACAGUAAAAAAUUAUUCAUUCCCUUAUCUAGGUAGAGAGGGCAACUCAUAUUAGGCUAGAACAAAAUUAACUCCUUCAGUUGUCCUAAAAUAAAAGAAGCAAAUGAAAGCAAAUCGGAGGAAAUACUCAACUAGAUCUAAAAAAAGGAAAGAAAGUUCAGCGAAAUUUUCCUCUCUAAAAUUUAGAGAGAAACGAACCGCUUGUUAUUAACCUUUAUAGGCCCAUUUACUUGUUGGCUAUCUUUGGAAGCUUUUGUGAUCAAAUGAUCCAUCAUCUAUGAAUUGAUCUAAUCAAAAUCCAUCAUCAUUCAUCAUGGUCGAAAUCAAAGAUAACAUUGACACAUGAGCACAUAUUAGUUAUGAGAUUCGUCCAGAAACCCAACACUGAUCCUGACCUGCCAACGUUCGUGUCACCUCAGUUUCUCAACAGUCUAAUCGAGUACCAAACGCCUUGCAAGUCGAGAAAUUUCAAGGAAAAAAUCCUCAAGAAUUGGUAUGGUUUCUCGCCUUGCUGAACCUUGUCUGCAACUUUUAUGGUCAGGCUUUCUGUCCUAUGCAGAUUACUCUUUGAUUAAUUUUAUAUUUAUUAAUCGUGCUUUGGAGCUAUGUGAAUUUUUGGGUGUGUUCUAAUUGAUUAGAUUGGAUAAGCUGAAAGAGCG
rnacentral:misc_RNA from 1 species